GUGGGGAAUAUUGGACAAUAGGCGAAAGCCUGAUCCAGCCAUGCCGCGUGUGUGAAGAAGGUCUUCGGAUUGUAAAGCACUUUAAGUUGGGAGGAAGGGUAGUAACCUAAUACGUUGCUACUUUGACGUUACCGACAGAAUAAGCACCGGCUAACUUCGUGCCAGCAGCCGCGGUAAUACGAAGGGUGCAAGCGUUAAUCGGAAUUACUGGGCGUAAAGCGCGCGUAGGUGGUUUUGUAAGUUGGAGGUGAAAUCCCCGGGCUCAACCUGGGAACUGCCUCCAAAACUGCAUGACUAGAGUACAGUAGAGGGUAGUGGAAUGUCCGGUGUAGCGGUGAAAUGCGUAGAUAUAGGAAGGAACACCAGUGGCGAAGGCGACUACCUGGACUGAUACUGACACUGAGGUGCGAAAGCGUGGGGAGCAAACAGGAUUAGAAACCCGGGUAGUCC
rnacentral:rRNA from 1 species